AGAACGAACGCUGGCGGCAGGCUUAACACAUGCAAGUCGAACGCCCCGCAAGGGGAGUGGCAGACGGGUGAGUAACGCGUGGGAAUCUACCUGGUUCUACGGAAUAACACAGGGAAACUUGUGCUAAUACCGUAUACGCCCCAAGGGGGAAAGAUUUAUCGGUGCCAGAUGAGCCCGCGUAAGAUUAGCUAGUUGGUGGGGUAAUGGCCUACCAAGGCGACGAUCUUUAGCUGGUCUGAGAGGAUGAUCAGCCACACUGGGACUGAGACACGGCCCAGACUCCUACGGGAGGCAGCAGUGGGGAAUAUUGGACAAUGGGCGAAAGCCUGAUCCAGCCAUGCCGCGUGAGUGAUGAAGGCCUUAGGGUUGUAAAGCUCUUUCAGUGGGGAAGAUAAUGACGGUACCACAGAAGAAGCCCGGCUAACUUCGCGCCAGCAGCCGC
rnacentral:rRNA from 1 species